rnacentral:rRNA from 1 species
AUUGAACGCUGGCGGCAUGCUUUACACAUGCAAGUCGAACGGUAACAGGCCUUCGGGUGCUGACGAGUGGCGCACGGGUGAGUAAUGCAUCGGAACGUGCCCAGAGGUGGAGGAUAACGCAGCGAAAGCUGUGCUAAUACCGCAUGUGAUCUGAGGAUGAAAGCGAGGGACCAGGCAGCAAUGUUUGGCCUCGCGCCUUUGGAGCGGCCGAUGUCAGAUUAGGUAGUUGGUGGGGUAAAGGCCUACCAAGCCGACGAUCUGUAGCUGGCCUGAGAGGACGACCAGCCACACUGGAACUGAGACACGGCCCAGACUCCUACGGGAGGCAGCAGUGGGGAAUUUUGGACAAUGGGCGCAAGCCUGAUCCAGCAAUGCCGCGUGCGGGAAGAAGGCCUUCGGGUUGUAAAACGCUUUUGUACGGAACGAAAAGGCUCUGGCUAAUACCUGGAGCUGAUGACGGUACCGUAAGAAUAAGCACCGGCUAACUACGUG